rnacentral:rRNA from 1 species
GGGAAUAACAUUCUGAAAAGGAUGCUAAUACCGCAUGACAUCGUAGUAUCGCAUGGUACAGCGAUCAAAGGAGCAAUCCGCUGAAAGAUGGACUCGCGUCCGAUUAGCUAGUUGGCGGGAUAAAGGCCCACCAAGGCGACGAUCGGUAGCCGGACUGAGAGGUUGAUCGGCCACAUUGGGACUGAGACACGGCCCAGACUCCUACGGGAGGCAGCAGUGGGGGAUAUUGCACAAUGGGGGAAACCCUGAUGCAGCAACGCCGCGUGAAGGAAGAAGGUCUUCGGAUUGUAAACUUCUGUCCUCAGGGAAGAUAAUGACGGUACCUGAGGAGGAAGCUCCGGCUAACUAC